AUCAGUGGCGAACGGGUGAGUAACACGUGAGUAACCUGCCCCUGACUCUGGGAUAACCCCGGGAAACCGGAGCUAAUACCGGAUAUGACACGCCCCUGCAUGGGGAGUGUGUGGAAAGUUUUUCGGUCUGGGAUGGACUCGCGGCCUAUCAGCUUGUUGGUGAGGUAAUGGCUCACCAAGGCGACGACGGGUAGCCGGCCUGAGAGGGCGACCGGCCACACUGGGACUGAGACACGGCCCAGACUCCUACGGGAGGCAGCAGUGGGGAAUAUUGCACAAUGGGCGAAAGCCUGAUGCAGCGACGCCGCGUGAGGGAUGACGGCCUUCGGGUUGUAAACCUCUUUCAGCAGGGAAGAAGCGCAAGUGACGGUACCUGCAGAAGAAGCACCGGCUAACUACGUGCCAGCAGCCGCGGUAAUACGUAGGGUGCGAGCGUUGUCCGGAAUUAUUGGGCGUAAAGAGCUUGUAGGUGGUUUGUCGCGUCUGCUGUGAAAAUCCGAGGCUCAACCUCGGACUUGCAGUGGGUACGGGCAGACUAGAGUGUGGUAGGGGAGACUGGAAUUCCUGGUGUAGCGGUGGAAUGCGCAGAUAUCAGGAGGAACACCGAUGGCGAAGGCAGGUCUCUGGGCCAUUACUGACAC
rnacentral:rRNA from 1 species